AGCGCAGGCGGUGACUUAAGUCUGAUGUGAAAGCCCACGGCUCAACCGUGGAAGGUCAUUGGAAACUGGGUCACUUGAAUAUAGAAGAGGAAAGUGGAAUUCCAUGUGUAGCGGUGAAAUGCGUAGAUAUAUGGAGGAACACCAGUGGCGAAGGCGACUUUCUGGUCUAUUAUUGACGCUGAGGCUCGAAAGCAUGGGUAGCAAACA
rnacentral:rRNA from 1 species